UAUUACUGUAUUUUCCAAAGUCAUUGUGUAACGGUAACUGAUCAAACGCUAUCAGUAAUAAAAUCAUAACGUGUCGGUUUGAGCUGAAAUUUGGUAUACUUCCGUAUUUUCGAUGACAAUGCAAUAGUAUGCUAACAUGGAGCUGAUCUGAUAAUGCAGUCGGAAAGUAGUCAAAGGAACUCUUCGAUGGAAAAACAUUGAGUUUAGGCUCAUUUGAAAGGUCUCGAGAAGUACUUGAUAGAUAUACAAAAAUGAGAAAUGCAGUUGGAAAUAAAAGUGUGUGUCAAAUAUAUUUUUGACGGGUACUUGUUAUGAUAUUAAUGAAUACUAUAACUUUAAUGAGUCCAAAUAAUUCUAAGAGCCUAUACAUAUGUAAACUUUCUGCAUGAUAGAUGUUUCAGAUAUUGCAUGCUAUUUUUUUAUUUUUAAGUACAUAAUAAUGCAGUGCCCUGACAGGGUUUGUGGUAAACGUACUGUUAUCUAGUUAUAAGACCUAUUGUAUACCCACAAAAGUAAUCAAUAAAUGAAUUAUGAGUUACAGUUAUUAGUUGCUCGUGGUAAGAAAAGUACAGUCAGCGACAAAAGCUUGUACCAAAAAAUAUUUUUUUGCUAAAAACUUAUCUGGUAGUGCCCCCGCAAAGACGAACCAAGCGAAGCGCAAGGGCACUACCUACCUUUUCGCGAAGCCCUUCAUCGUUUUUUUGCACCUUCAUAACUUUGAGUUUGGAUUAUACCAGAUAAACCAAAUUUUCGGGAUAUGAUUUCAAUAGUGAACUUAUUAAACAUAGAAAGUUUCAGUUAAAUAGCUCUUAUACUUAAAAUUUUAUGAAUAUCUAAAAAAACCCGAUUUCGUCCCUGACUCACUCUUAGGGAUCUUUCUGAAGUCCUAGAAAGCUGUAAGCUAGUAUUAAUACACAAACAACAAAAAAAAAUUAAA